UGGGGGAUAUUGCACAAUGGGCGAAAGCCUGAUGCAGCGACGCCGCGUGGGGGAUGAAGGCUUUCGGGUUGUAAACCUCUUUCGCUAUCGAACAAGGCCCGCUUAGGGUGGGUUGAGGGUAGGUGGAGAAGAAGCGCCGGCUAACUACGUGCCAGCAGCCGCGGUAAUACGUAGGGCGCGAGCGUUGUCCGGAAUUAUUGGGCGCAAAGGGCUUGUAGGCGGCUUGUUGCGCCUGCUGUGAAAACGCGGGGCUUAACUUCGCGCGUGCAGUGGGUACGGGCAGGCUUGAGUGUGGUAGGGGUGACUGGAAUUCCAGGUGUAGCGGUGGAAUGCGCAGAUAUCUGGAGGAACACCGAUGGCGAAGGCAGGUCACUGGGCCAUUACUGACGCUGAGGAGCGAAAGCAUGGGUAGCGAACAGG
rnacentral:rRNA from 1 species